CAAUAAAAACAUUUAAAUCUGAUUUUAUAGGAAGAAGCUGACUUUAGAUGUGGCCAAAACAAUUGAAUGGAUGUCCAGAAACAGUUUUUAAAAUUAGGCAAGGGAUUAAAAAUAAAAUAAGUAUUUGCCCACGUCACACUGCCAGUGGCACAAAGAGACACAUUUUAAUACCUUCAAUCAUUUAUUUAUAUCCAUCCAUUUAUGUGAGCUUAAAGCCAGUCAAUGUAACCCUUUUGAUUGUUGCUUUUGGUGCGUCACGACUUCACAUUUUAAUACUGGCAUCUGUUUUUUUUUUCAGAGGAAAAAGCCAUGACCUCACGGAAGGUUAUCGACACAUAAUAGACACUUGAUGAAGUGAAGAUUAUUGGCCAUCGAGGUUUGUUGAAUGGAGUUCACGUACCCUAAAACUUCACUUGAAAAUAUGUCAUUGCAGUAUGUGUUCUUUCUUAAGAUACCUUGAAGGCAGCCAUUGAAAAGCUGAAUGAGUCACUGGACACAUCUGAUUUGAGGCAGUUUGACCCAGAUGAACAACGGAGAACAAAAAAGCUGAGAAAGCGUAGAAUAAUUUACGACUCCUCGGACACGGAUGAUGUUGAUGAGCUAAUGGACGGGGGAACACAGCCAUCAUGUCACCAUAAAGCUUCCAUGUUGCCACCUGCACCGAAACCACAAUCAAUCGCCCCGUGCUCAAGUGCUGUGGUACUGACAUGCCCAAUCGAGAGUUCACCUAGCACACCGCCAGUGACCAGAGGACUAUUUGAGCUGUCUACCUCCUCUUCAAUUGCAUUGCAGUCAGAGAGUACGUGUUCAUCUCCCGACAUCAUGUCACUGGGCCCAAGACCUGCUCAGCAUCGUAUGCCGACGCCAUGUCAAACACCCAGGGC